rnacentral:tRNA from 1 species
ACCUCUUUAACAAACAAUUAAGUGCUUGACUGCUAACCAAAAGGUUGGUAGUUCAAAUCCACCCAGAGGUG